rnacentral:rRNA from 1 species
GACGAACGCUGGCGGCGUGCCUAAUACAUGCAAGUAGAACGCUGAAGGAGGAGCUUGCCUCUCUGGAUGAGUUGCGAACGGGUGAGUAACGCGUAGGUAACCUGCCUGGUAGCGGGGGAUAACUAUUGGAAACGAUAGCUAAUACCGCAUAAUAGUAGAUGUUGCAUGACAUUUGCUUAAAAGGUGCAAUUGCAUCACUACCAGAUGGACCUGCGUUGUAUUAGCUAGUUGGUGGGGUAACGGCUCACCAAGGCGACGAUACAUAGCCGACCUGAGAGGGUGAUCGGCCACACUGGGACUGAGACACGGCCCAGACUCCUACGGGAGGCAGCAGUAGGGAAUCUUCGGCAAUGGACGGAAGUCUGACCGAGCAACGCCGCGUGAGUGAAGAAGGUUUUCGGAUCGUAAAGCUCUGUUGUAAGAGAAGAACGAGUGUGAGAGUGGAAAGUUCACACUGUGACGGUAUCUUACCAGAAAGGGACGGCUAACUACGUG